AGGACGAACGCUGGCGGCGUGCUUAACACAUGCAAGUCGAACGAGGUCCAUCCAGUCGCAAGACUGGUGAAGGCCGAGUGGCGAACGGGUGCGUAACACGUGAGAAACCUGUCCCGGUCUCUGGAAUAACAGUCGGAAACGACUGCUAAUACCGGAUGCCGUCGGAGCGUCGCAUGGCGCGCUGACGAAAGGGCUACCGGAUCGGGAGGGUCUCGCGGCCUAUCAGCUUGUUGGUGAGGUAACGGCUCACCAAGGCAUCGACGGGUAGCUGGUCUGAGAGGAUGAUCAGCCACACUGGGACUGAGACACGGCCCAGACUCCUACGGGAGGCAGCAGUGGGGAAUCUUGCACAAUGGGCGAAAGCCUGAUGCAGCAACGCCGCGUGCGGGAUGAAGGCCCUAGGGCUGUAAACCGCUUUCAGCAGGGAAGAAAUGACGGUACCUGUAGAGAAGGUGCGGCAACUACGUGCCAGCAGCCGCGGUAAC
rnacentral:rRNA from 1 species